rnacentral:rRNA from 1 species
GACGAACGCUGGCGGCGUGCUUAACACAUGCAAGUCGAACGGAAAGGCCCUGCUUUUGUGGGGUGCUCGAGUGGCGAACGGGUGAGUAACACGUGAGUAACCUGCCCCUGACUUUGGGAUAACUUCAGGAAACUGGGGCUAAUACCGGAUAGGAGCUCCUGCUGCAUGGUGGGGGUUGGAAAGUUUCGGCGGUUGGGGAUGGACUCGCGGCUUAUCAGCUUGUUGGUGGGGUAGUGGCUUACCAAGGCUUUGACGGGUAGCCGGCCUGAGAGGGUGACCGGCCACAUUGGGACUGGGAUACGGCCCAGACUCCUACGGGAGGCAGCGGUGGGGAAUAUUGCACAAUGGGCGGAAGCCUGAUGCAGCAACGCCGCGUGCGGGAUGACGGCCUUCGGGUUGUAAACCGCUUUCGCCUGUGACGAAGCGUGAGUGACGGUAAUGGGUAAAGAAGCACCGGCUAACUACGUG